GAUGAACGCUAGCGGGAGGCCUAACACAUGCAAGCCGAGCGGUAUUGUUUCUUCGGAAAUGAGAGAGCGGCGUACGGGUGCGGAACACGUGUGCAACCUGCCUUUAUCUGGGGGAUAGCCUUUCGAAAGGAAGAUUAAUACUCCAUAACAUAUUGAUUGGCAUCAAUUAAUAUUGAAAGCUCCGGCGGAUAGAGAUGGGCACGCGCAAGAUCAGCUAGUUGGUGAGGUAACGGCUCACCAAGGCGAUGAUCUUUAGGGGGCCUGAGAGGGUGAUCCCCCACACUGGUACUGAGACACGGACCAGACUCCUACGGGAGGCAGCAGUGAGGAAUAUUGGUCAAUGGGUGCAAGCCUGAACCAGCCAUCCCGCGUGAAGGACGACUGCCCUAUGGGUUGUAAACUUCUUUUGUAUAGGGAUAAACCUACCCUCGUGAGGGUAGCUGAAGGUACUAUACGAAUAAGCACCGGCUAACUCCGUGCCAGCAGCCGCCGUAACAC
rnacentral:rRNA from 1 species